rnacentral:rRNA from 1 species
AUUGAACGCUAGCGGGAUGCCUUACACAUGCAAGUCGAACGGAGUGGCGAACGGGUGAGUACUGUAUCGGAACGUGCCCAGUAGCGGGGGAUAACUACGCGAAAGCGUAGCUAAUACCGCAUACUAUUGGAGCGGCCGACAUCGGAUUAGCUAGUUGGUGGGGUAACGGCUCACCAAGGCGACGAUCCGUAGCAGGUUUGAGAGGACGACCAGCCAAAUUGGGACUGGAGAACGGCCCAGACUCCUACGGAAGGCAGCAGUGGGGAAUUUUGGACAAGGGGGGAAACCCGGAUCCAGCACUCCGGGGUGUGCGAGGAAGGCCUUCGGGUUGAAAAGCACUUUUGGCAGGAAAGCGGUACCUGCAGAAUAAGCACCGGCUAACUACGUGCCAGCAGCCGCGGUAAUUC